rnacentral:rRNA from 1 species
UACGGAGGGGGCUAGCGUUGUUCGGAAUUACUGGGCGUAAAGCGCACGUAGGCGGCUUUGUAAGUUAGAGGUGAAAGCCUGGUGCUCAACAUCAGAAUUGCCUUUAAGACUGCAUCGCUUGAACGUCGGAGAGGUGAGUGGAAUUCCGAGUGUAGAGGUGAAAUUCGUAGAUAUUCGGAAGAACACCAGUGGCGAAGGCGGCUCACUGGACGACUGUUGACGCUGAGGUGCGAAAGCGUGGGGAGCAAACAGG